GGGCAGUUAGCUCAGCGGUAGAGCUUCUGCCUUACAAGCAGAAGGCCACAGGUUCAAAUCCUGUACUGCCCA
rfam:Nannochloropsis gaditana chloroplast, complete genome.